GAUGAACGCUGGCGGCGUGCCUAAUACAUGCAAGUCGAGCGAACAGAUGAGGAGCUUGCUCCUCUGACGUUAGCGGCGGACGGGUGAGUAACACGUGGAUAACCUACCUAUAAGACUGGGAUAACUUCGGGAAACCGGAGCUAAUACCGGAUAAUAUAUUGAACCGCAUGGUUCAAUAGUGAAAGACGGUUUUGCUGUCACUUAUAGAUGGAUCCGCGCCGCAUUAGCUAGUUGGUAAGGUAACGGCUUACCAAGGCAACGAUGCGUAGCCGACCUGAGAGGGUGAUCGGCCACACUGGAACUGAGACACGGUCCAGACUCCUACGGGAGGCAGCAGUAGGCAAUCUUCCGCAAUGGGCGAAAGCCUGACGGAGCAACGCCGCGUGAGUGAUGAAGGUCUUCGGAUCGUAAAACUCUGUUAUUAGGGAAGAACAAAUGUGUAAGUAACUAUGCACGUCUUGACGGUACCUAAUCAGAAAGCCACGGCUAACUACGUG
rnacentral:rRNA from 1 species